GGAACAGCCGCGGUGGGAGGUGGAAUGCCUCGUUCCCACGCGGCCGCGGGGAGCUGCCAGGACGGGGUGCUCGGCGGUGGGCGUGAGGAGAGAGCCCCUCUUCCCGCGGGGGCGCGGGGCUGCGUGGCGGUGCUUCCAGCGCUUUCUUCCCUAACGUGAGCGGAGGACUCGGGUUCCUGCGCCGCCCCCGUUAGUUCAUCGUCUCCUCAGGGGACGCGCAGGAGGCGUGUUCGCCCAGAGCCCCCGCUCACUGAGGCCGCCAGCUCGAGCCGGGCGUGCGGUCGGGCGUGUGCGGGUUCAGGACGCUUGCUGGAGACAGUCCUGACGGAGCUUCAGAGAGGAAGGACGUCUACAGCCCUGAAAGGGGCUACCCAGUGUCCUGAGAGGAUUCAUUGUGAGAAAAGUGUCAGUCACAGUUUUAAGACCUUACUUUGAAAGGAAUUAAGGAGAAAGCAAAUUGGAAGGUAAGAUUUCAUCUUUGUUUUUGUAUU
rnacentral:lncRNA from 1 species